rnacentral:rRNA from 1 species
UACGAAGGGGGCUAGCGUUGCUCGGAAUCACUGGGCGUAAAGCGCACGUAGGCGGACUCUUAAGUCGGUGGUGAAAUCCUGGAGCUCAACUCCAGAACUGGCCUUUGAUACUGAAAAUCUUGAGUAUGGGAGAGGUGAGUGGAACUGCGAGUGUAGAGGUGAAAUUCGUAGAUAUUCGCAAGAACACCAGUGGCGAAGGCGGCUCACUGGCCCAUAACUGACGCUGAGGCACGAAAGCGUGGGGAGCAAACAGG